UACGGAGGGGGCUAGCGUUGUUCGGAAUUACUGGGCGUAAAGCGCGCGUAGGCGGCUUUGUAAGUUAGAGGUGAAAGCCCGGGGCUCAACCCCGGAAUUGCCUUUAAGACUGCAUCGCUAGAAUCGUGGAGAGGUGAGUGGAAUUCCGAGUGUAGAGGUGAAAUUCGUAGAUAUUCGGAAGAACACCAGUGGCGAAGGCGACUCACUGGACACGUAUUGACGCUGAGGUGCGAAAGCGUGGGGAGCAAACAGG
rnacentral:rRNA from 1 species